rnacentral:tRNA from 1 species
UGGUCUGUAGCUCAGCGGCAGAGCGCUCGACUGUUAAUCGAGUACGCGCAGGUUCGAUCCCUGCCAGGCCAG